GGAACGCUGCUGUCCCGCGAUCCCCACGCGGCCACACCCCCGGUCUGAGGUCUGACCCUGACCGCGCCUCCGUUCUCCCAAAAUCCACCCACCGAGCGAAUUCCAAACCCUGCCAGGGCUUCCCUCCUCCGGCGCCAGCCGCCGCUCGUCGGCUGCCUCCGCCCCAAUCCAAUGGGGUACGAGGAGAGCAAAAAUCAUCUCCUUUGCCUCAGUUACCAAGAGCUCCAAUGUUUGUGCAAAAGGUAUAACCUUCCUGCUAAGAAGACCCAUUCUCAGUUAGCAAGCUCACUUGCCUUGCUUCUUGAGGCACCUCCAUCUCCUGCUGCUUCUCCUAUCAUGUUAGCAACUGCGAAAGAAACAUCCACAUGCGACCAUGUUAACAACAAAAGAGGCCCAUAUAAUGUCAGAGAUGAUGGUAGACCACUUGAGCAGGUGAAGCAUCAAAAGGGAUCUCAAACACCAAUUGAUGAAACAGCUAAAGGGGGGAUUGACACUUGUACAAGUAUUUCUCCAGUUUCUAUCUGUGGAAGACCAGAUUGUCACGGCCAUUCAUCUUCUGAUUGGGGUACUGAUCAUAAUUUGCAGUCUCAAAGUAAUGUGGGUAUUGCAACUAAGUCAGUAAAUCCUAGACUUGUUUGCCAACAUCAUCCUUCACCUGAUAACAUAAUUGAUCAAAUUUGUCCUCCUAUUAUUCAAAAACAUCCUGAGGCUUCCACUCCUUUCAGCUGUACAGAAGAUACCACAGAUAAGGGUUGUGGGCCAUCUGAUAAGAUGUCAGUAAAUUUUCCUACCGUUCAAUUUUCUGUAAUGUCAGAUGAGGGCAUUGAUCUUGUUGUUGAUCUAAACUCCACUCCAGCAAGUUGGGCUAAGAACUUCAUGGCAGAAAUGUGCAUUAGCCCUCCUUCCCAACCUGGGAAUUUCUCCAGCUUUAUUAGCAGCUUGGCAAGUAAGGAUGAUCAUAGCACUGCUUCGCCAUCUGGGAAUAUCAUUGUUGACAUCCAGAGCAAGGGAACUGAGAUUAUCAUUCCUUCCACUAAUUCGUCCCUUGCUUCAGAUGCUGGUGAGAACUCUCGUUCAGUGCCCUAUCCAGCUGAUACAAUUACAGUGAACUCAAUGUCAUCCACAUCUACAUUGGCUGGUACUCCAGUUGAACUUUCUGGGUGUCAGGAGGGUGCUCCAGUGGUAUCUUCUUCAUGUUUAACAGCUGAUGUUCAGAACAAUGUGACGUCCAAUAUGAUGCCCAGUGUUUUGGAUAAUGCAGUGCUUCCUCCAGAAUCUGCUGAUGUCUUUAUGCAGUCUGAAAGAAUCGCUGUACCCUUGGAUGAUGCUUCCAUGCUACCAACUGGCAAUAAAGUCAUGAUGAGUCCUGGUAAAACCAACGUUUUUGGCAAGAUUUGUUGCACUCAAAUUGUUUCAGUUGCUGAUACAGACAUUUUAUCUUCCUUUUCGUCAGGGGGUGUGGUUAGAAGUGUCUCCAAUGAAGACUUCUGUCCAAAAUCUUCAGAAAAACAAACUGCAGAUGUUCCUGCAAGGGUUCAACCUUCUCACAAUGAUAUCCAUGAAACCUUAAUGGAAAAUGAACCAGUAGAGGCAGUGGCAGUGGAAGAAGAUGUAGUUUGUGGUGACAGUUUGUCCAUUUCCUGUCAACUAGCUGGUCAGACAGUACCAAAACUGCCAGUUACAGAUGCUCAGUCACAUGCUAGCUCUGCCGAUCGUUGUGUUGCUGGGAGUUUUGACCUCGCACAACCAACAUCAUCAUCUGCUGCUUCGUAAAUGGGGAAGAGAAGGAAAGCUGGUAAAUAUGUAUUUUUGGUCCAUGGCAAAGUCUACAUGUUCCACUUUUAGCUCUUCUGCAACUGCAAACCUGCUUAUUUGGUAAUUGAUAUUCCGCUGACCUCCUUAGCUGGCAUUUGUGGUAUUAGUUACCAAUGCCUUCGUGUACUCUGACUGGAAAAACUUACUGCACAUUAUACAUUCGGGAAGCCAGGAACAAAUUAAGAAAGUAAAGUUUGUGAACUCCAGUGCUGAUUUUUUUUAUUACAUUGUCUUAUACUGACUAUUGAAGAAAAGCUUAUCCAACACCGGCUGAGAUGGUUUGGACAUGUCCAACGGAGACCGCCAGAGGCACCAGUGCAUAGUGGUAUCCUAAAGCACGACGGUAAUAUGAGAGGCAGGGGCCGGCCGAAGUUGACAUGGGAAGAAACAAUUAGAAGAGACUUGAAAGACUAGAGUAUACCUAGAGAUUUGUCCUUGGAUAGGAGUGCUUGGAAAGCCGCGAUUCUCGUGCCAGAACCAUGAAUAAUGGUCUUUGUUGGGUUUCAACUCUAGCCUACCCCAACUUGCUUGGGAUUAAAAGGCUUUGUUGAUGUUAAUGUUGAGCGGUGUGUGCUCUGUGACCAGGAGGAAACAAUCCAACACAUCCUCACCUCAUGUGUCUUUGCAAGGCAAUUUUGGUGUGCCAUCCUGCAGCAGCUAGCUUUAACUAAUCUAACACCCACCAGAAGUUCAUCUUUUGCUGAUUGGUGGAAGAAGGCUGAGAAGAAACUGCAGAAACAUCUUAGGAAAGGCUUCAACUCCUUCUGCAUCCUUGGGGCAUGGAUUAUUUGGAAACAUAGAAAUGCUUGUGUGUUUGAUGGAGUAGUGCCCAACUUACAGCAAGCAGUGCAGGCUUUUAAGGAUGAAGCAAGCGCUUGGCAGUUCGCCGGGGCAAAAGGGUUGGCUCCCCUCUACCUCGAGUUGGGAGUGGUCCAGGGGUAGAGAGUGGAGUGGUUUUGUUGGUCUGGUCCUGCCUGGUCUCAUCUGUAAAUUAGUUCUUUUUUAAUUCGUGCACUCCUUUCUCUAGUCCAAGGUUUGGAGUGCAUAUUUGUAAUUGGACUAUUUUCCCCUCUUAAUACAAUGACACGCAGCUCUCCUGCGUGUUCCAGAAAAAAAAAGAUGAUGUUGUUGUCUUAUACUGACUGUUUGAAAAAAAAAUCUUCGUCGGCUAUGAAAUGGUAUUCCAUCUAUGCGACUCCCUAUUCUGUAUGUCAUGAUGCUCACUAUGCGUGAUGGAAGGUGCUUUAUUAUCGAAAUGCUUUGUUGUGCAUAAUUCAUGGUGUUCUGGUUUAUUGUGUUUGCUAGCAUAUAAUGAUAUAUAGUACUUGUCCCUGGAGCGAUUGUUAUUAACCAACUUCAAUACUCCUGCAGGACAAUGCCAUUAAUUCCCUGACUUCAAAGUACGGUGCAGAGUAUGUUCUCUAUAAGCAAUGUUAGUACUUCUGUUUUCAGCAUCCUGUUGCAUACUUAGAAGACCUCUUUUCAUCUGUAGGUCAGCACAAAGUCAUGGUUCUACUGACAAAAAUAGAGGGCGUGGUGUUGAUGAGCAUGAGGAGUUAGAGAGCGUGACGCCAGCAGCCUAUAGUGAACCUCCUAGAAAUAUACAACUUAGCUUAAGAAGUGCUUCUGCUAAAAAAAAGCCUUCUACACUACCAAGACGGUCAGCAAGGCUUGUUCCUAAGUAACCGCUCUAAAUGAUACAGACGAGACCCAUUGUGGAGUAGCUACCGGCUUUAGUCAGAUUCAGUGAGGUUGGAUUGAUAGAAUACAGUUGUUAACAAGCUAGAUUCUAAACAUGUCUAUUCUGGUUGAUUCUUUCGUUCUAGCAACUGAGUAGCUUGGCUUUGGGAGGUUAGUUAGUACUGCUGCCAGACAUUUGUUUCUCCUUCUGUUUUGCAACAUCUGUUACAGUUGAUGUACUGUGGAGCUUUCAUAUAUCAGCGUACAACAAACGAUGCACACUUUUACAGAAAUUUCUGACC